UGUGUUAAUGAUGACUUUAAUUACCUACAUUGCUUGAUUCUUCUAUGAGAAUUAAUCAGAAUCUGAUAACUCG
rnacentral:snoRNA from 1 species